GGACGAACGCUGGCGGCGUGCUUAACACAUGCAAGUCGAGCGGUAAGGCUCCUUCGGGAGUACACGAGCGGCGAACGGGUGAGUAACACGUGAGCAAUCUGCCCAUCUCUUUGGAAUAAGCGUUGGAAACGACGUCUAAUGCCGAAUACGACCUCCUUUCGCAUGAUCGGAGGUGGAAAGCUCCGGCGGAGAUGGAUGAGCUCGCGGCCUAUCAGCAGUUGGUGAGGUAACGGCCACCAAGGCGACGACGGGUAGCCGGCCUGAGAGGGUGACCGGCCACACUGGGACUGAGACACGGCCCAGGACUCCUACGGGAGGCAGCAGUGGGGAAUAUUGGACAAUGGGCGAAAGCCUGAUCCAGCAACGCCGCGUGA
rnacentral:rRNA from 1 species